AUGUGAGACCAUCAUCCCAACAUACAAAAGAAAUGUGCAACACACUCUAAGCAGCGCUGACCGCCCGUCAUAACAUUUUUUUUCUAUCCAAUCGCGAUCAGUAAAAUUUUUUUUGAAAAUUUAUGAAAAAAAUACUCACAUUCAAAUUCGAUGUGGAAAGUGGAGGGUUAAACUUGACGUGUUUUUACUCAAUAUAGACAAAUUAAAAUGGCGUUGUCUACCGAAAGGAACCGAUGAUAUUCUAAACUCAUCACCUGGCACAAAAUGAAUCCCUCAUUUGAUUUGAAGAGAAACCAUGCAAAUGGAACAAGAAAAUAGUUGACUGCGAAUAGUUCAAACUAAAGCGAAAUGAUAGACAAUUUCAUCACUGUUUGGACGAAACGAUUGAAGGAAAAACUUCAACAAUGCUAAAGAACUCCACCUCAAAUUCUCUAUCAUAUUCAAUAGGAAGGGUACAAAUAUAAUUAUGGUAACAAAACGUGAUCGCUAUUUUUCUAGAAAAAUUUUGUAUUAUAUUGGAACAAAAAGCGGGAGGAAGUUUACGGUAGUCUGAAUAAAUGCCAGUACCUAUAAAAAUGAUGUAUUGUCAAAUAUUGUUAAUGCGGAGAAAUAGUUGCCUACUAUGUACGGACAAGUAGGAAGCCUGAGCGAAACUAGUGCGUGAGAUGGAAAACACUUCUAACCGAUUACCUUAGCCCGGUUUGGAGGAAAAUGUAAAAAUCAACCGUUAUUGAAAUCACUUAGCGGGGGGUCCAGCAAAUGGACUUAUUCGACGUGGUCGGAUUAAAGAGAGAGUGGUGUUAUGUGAGUGGUUUUAGCGUGUAUGCAAAGAAGUGGUUAGUAUCAUGUGGGGACAUUUGCACUCGUAUAUUUAGUAUGACGUGGUCUAUUCUGGAUAAGUAGUUUAACCUGGUCAGGAUGUGUGGUGUUUCCGACUCCAAAGACGACACUCAGUACACGUCUGAAGUUGGUCGCGUCCGAAAUUGCGUCGGUAUAUAGUUGAAGUUCGUUGACGUAUUGUAGGAAUGGUUUGGUAACAAUCGCGGUCGAAUCGUAGCACCACCAAUUUGGAACUCAACGCGGUCGUCGGGUCUCCUCGGACUGGACAGAGAUUUAACAGUAGUCUAUGACUGGCUUACACUGGCAGAGUGAAAUCGGGCCUCAUCGAUUCUUCCAGACGGAAUGAAACGAGUAGUAGCAGCGGUGUCACCUUGCGGAAUUAACAUUUGCCAAAGAUCACGUCCGUAGAAAUAGGUAGUACGGCGAAGGUGUCCUCGGUGAAUUCUGUGAAGCCAACCCAGUUAGCUCUGUUAAAGUAACAAAGAAAAUAUCUUCAAUAUACAUACGUAUUACAAUAUAACCAACUUCUUUUAAAUCAAAAGCUAAUGCGGUAGGGGAGGUAUUUAUGCG